rnacentral:rRNA from 1 species
AUUGAACGCUGGCGGUAUGCUUAACACAUGCAAGUCGAACGGAAACGAUGGUAGCUUGCUACCAGGCGUCGAGUGGCGGACGGGUGAGUAAUGCAUAGGAAUCUGCCCUUUAGUGGGGGACAACCUGGUGAAAACCAGGCUAAUACCGCAUAAGUCCUACGGGAGAAAGCAGGGGAUCUUCGGACCUUGCGNUAAAGGAUGAGCCUAUGUCGGAUUAGCUAGUUGGUGAGGUAAAGGCUCACCAAGGCGACGAUCCGUAGCUGGUCUGAGAGGACGAUCAGCCACACUGGGACUGAGACACGGCCCAGACUCCUACGGGAGGCAGCAGUGGGGAAUAUUGGACAAUGGGGGCAACCCUGAUCCAGCAAUACCGCGUGUGUGAAGAAGGCCUUAGGGUUGUAAAGCACUUUCAGUAGGGAGGAAACGCCUAAGUUUAAUAAACUUAGGAAUUGACGUUACCUACAGAAGAAGCACCGCUAACU